rnacentral:rRNA from 1 species
UACGUAGGCAGCGAGCGUUGUUCGGAUUUACUGGGCGUAAAGGGUGCGUAGGCGGUUGUUUAAGUUUGGUGUGAAAUCUCCCGGCUCAACUGGGAGGGUGCGCCGAAUACUGAAUGACUAGAGUGCGGGAGAGGAUAGUGGAAUUCCUGGUGUAGCGGUGAAAUGCGCAGAUAUCGGGAAGAACACCCGUGGCGAAGGCGGCACUCUGGGACGGUACUGACGCUGAGACGCGAAAGCGUGGGGAGCGAACAGG